rnacentral:snoRNA from 1 species
UGGACCAUUGAUAACGACUAGUGGUAUAUGAGUCAAGGCUCAUGGAUAUGUGUCUGGGCUUCUGAGGUCCAA